rnacentral:rRNA from 1 species
AGCAGCCGCGGUAAUUCCAGCUCCAAUAGCGUAUAUUAAAGUUGUUGCAGUUAAAAAGCUCGUAGUUGAAUUUCGGGAUUGACACAUCGGUCGUGCCUUAAGGGGUAUGAACUGGUGUAGUCAGUUUCUCACCUUCUGGAGAACCGCGAUGUCCUUAAUUGGGUGCCGCGAGGAACCAGGACCUUUACUUUGAAAAAAUUAGAGUGUUUAAAGCAGGCAUUUUGCUUGAAUACAUUAGCAUGGAAUAAUAAAAUAGGACGGAUGGUUCUAUUUUGUUGGUUUCUAGGAUCACCGUAAUGAUUAAUAGGGAUAGUUGGGGGCAUUAGUAUUCAAUUGUCAGAGGUGAAAUUCUUGGAUUUAUUGAAGACUAACUACUGCGAAAGCAUUUGCCAAGGAUGUUUCAUUAAUCAAGAACGAAAGUUAGGGGAUCGAAGACGAUCAGAUACCGUCGUAGUCUUAACCAUAAACUAUGCCGACUAGGAAUCAGACGAUGUAAUUUUUUAAUAGUACUCGUUUGGUC